CACGUAGGGUGCGAGCGUUGUCCGGAAUUAUUGGGCGUAAAGAGCUCGUAGGCGGUGUGUCGCGUCGGCCGUGAAAACCUGCAGCUUAACUGUGGGCUUGCGGUCGAUACGGGCAUCACUGGAGUUCGGCAGGGGAGACUGGAAUUCCUGGUGUAGCGGUGAAAUGCGCAGAUAUCGGGAGGAACACCGAUGGCGAAGGCAGUUCUCUGGGCCGUAACUGACGCUGAGGAGCGAAAGCGUGGGGAGCGAACAGG
rnacentral:rRNA from 1 species